CCUCCCUCCCUCCCUCCCUCCGCACCACCCGCCCCUUCCUGCGCCCGUCUUCCCCCGCAACCGGGACGCGACGGGACGGGACAGGACGGGACGGGGAGAAAUAGCCGAGUCACGGCAUAGAGCCCGUAAGGGCAGGGCGGGGGAACUACCGCCCGUCUCGGGCAGGGUACCUCGCGCUCCGUCAGGGACGGUCUCCAAUGUCAGAUGCCUUCCUCCUUUCAGGUGGGGUCUUUUUCCCCCCCUCUCACCUCCUCUUGUCAUAGUUAGCGGGCUCGGGGGUGGGAGGUCGAGGCUUUUCACACGCUGAGUGGCUCCUGGGGACCGCUCUGUGUUUUGGGAGCUUGCUGAGAGCCCCCGCCCGCCAUUUUCUCUCCCUCAGGAACCUCUGUUGGCGGACCCUGCGGUUGCCUCAUGCCACCGCACCUUAUUGCUUCAAGCCGGUUACUUUCCUUACUUCAGGGAAAAAUAACACAAAUUAAGUUCCCUCUUUCGUGGCCAUGCAGGGCAAAGCUUUCGGGAUUUUGCCCGCCGUCCCAAGUGAAGGCGUAGAGAUAGACUCGGUGCUGGAGAAGGUCUCACGUAGCUUUGUGUGCUGCCGGACACAAAUCAUUCUUAGCUUUAACCAACACCACAGGUAAAGUGUUUGGCGACCCUCCAAGCUUUCCUCUAUCAGUCAGAACUAGUUGGGAUUUUAAAAUUUCAGAAGAAAUUUUAAAACGCAAUUAUAGAAUGUCUUGCAGUCACUUGACUUCCAGCAUUUACUAAGCGCGUACUGACAGUUUUAAGUUGUUGCAAGAGCUAAUUAUUUAGCAUCGGGAUAUUUCAAGGUAACAUCCACUUGCUGCCUGUUUAUGAGAACAUGAAUAUGGUGUAAAAUAUUAAGGAAUACUAAGCUAUAUUUAAAUUAAAGACCAAGAAUGGUAUUCAGUGGUCCUGUUUUAUUACCCGUCUAUUUUAUCAUAUCUAUGCCCAGCUGGAGGUUCUGUGGGAUCAAUCCUGCUGUGAUGUCAUUGUGUGGGAUGCUGUGCAGGGCAUCCUGCACUAUUCCUUUCAUAACACUGUAAGGAGCACCCAGUGUAUUGUCAGUCCAACAUCUGAAGUGCAGCAUUGCAUGACCUGGAAACACAAUAUAAAUAGGGCAUUGACAAGUCAGAAUUAGCCAUGCCCGGAGCCAGGGACUCAAGAGCAGGCCUGCAAAAGAAAGCUGGGUUGUGACAGGCAGACAGAAAUUCCUACGCACAGGGAAAAGCUACAUAGGGCAAGGUUACUCUUCAGCUCCUAUUUCUGACUCUUGUACUGACCAUAGACAGAUUUUCAUUAAUUUUACAAGAAAUGUGGUGCUAGUAACUAAAAGUAUUAUUUCUAUCUGUUUUACUAGAGAAAUAAUCUCUAUUAUUAUUAGAAAAUAAGUGUAAAUUGGAAAUGUUCAAGGCCAGACUGGACAGGGCUUGGAGCAACGUGAUCUAGUGGAAAUUGUCCCUGCCUGUGGCAGGGUUUGGAACAAGAUGAGCUUUAAGGUGCUUCCAACCAGUCUGAUAUUCUGUACCACAGAAACUUCUCAAUCAAUAAUUGCCAUCUUUUGCAGACUCCUCUUUAAAUGUUACAGUAGAAAUGGGAACUUUGUUGGAGUUGUCAGUGUCCUGAUUAGAAGCAGAUGGCAUUAGGAAUAGCUAAAAUGGUAGGUGUUCUUUGCAACCUUGCUUUAAUGUUACAGAAGCUAGAAAUGGUCAGGGCCUGAAUCCUGUUACUUCCUAGCAAGUGAUUGUACACUGUUCUGAUGUUCUCUUCAGUUUGGGUUUUAAUAUUCCAGUCUGGGGACUUCUGCCACUUUGUCUUUUGGUUCCUGUGUUGUGGAAAGGCUUCAUUUUUCAUGUAGUUUAUGUUUUCCCUCAACAUUUAAUUGCAUUGCCAGUAGGAACAUGCUAACAACAAGUUUCAGUAGCACAGCAUAGGUUACCACAGUAAUACAUAGUUGAUAUUUAAAGAAGUGGGAUAUGAAAUCACAUAUUCUUAUUAUGUAACACUGCACAGAUGAACACUUUAAUUCUCAAACCCCACUUUAGACUUCCAUCAGUCAGGCUUUUCUAAUGUUUAUUCUUUGUUAUGUUUUCUGAAAGUUCAGGAAUUUGUAGAUGAGCUUGUUCUCUUGUUGGGAUCUGGUGCCACUAGAUAACUUAGAUUAUUUUUAGUGUCUGCCUUCCCCAGUUACGCAGCAUUUCUUCCUGUGUGAUACACUGCUUUUAGCGUUUGAAACACAAAGUGUUAUUUGUCUGCAGGAUUACUGUUUUCAAAUAUCAUUCCAGCUUAUCAUUAAAUCAGCUAUAACUCAUCUCCACUUAUGUACAUUGUUCUUUCUUUUAUGUUCUUAACAGCCCACAGGAAUUAGUUUUUAUUCUACCGCAUAUAGUCUCAAUUUUCAAAUCCUUUCUCUCUUUUUCCUAUCCAAAAGGAGAUACUGUGUAGGCAUGGUUCUAAAAUCUGCCAUUUGUGGCCACACUAGUAAUGUUCCUCAAAUUAUACAUUAAAAAUGACUCCCCAUUUUAGCCUCUAUGACUGAGAGAAAUACCUAAAAUACCAGUUUAACUGUCAAAUGGUAUCAUCUCACCAUUCCAUUUUUAUAUUACUCCUUCCAUAUAAAACUGCUCUAGAACUGUGGUACCAGGAUAGCUGUCUUUAAAAAAAGAAAUGUGUACUUUUUAAACGUCUUGGCAGUGUUUCAGUUUGCUAUUUUAGUUAGCAAUGUGACUUGUAAAGCUGAUAAAGGAAAAAUUCUCAUUUUGAAACCUGUGCUAUCAGAAUGGAAGGCAAGAAUGAAAUACUUUUCCAGGUGGCUGCAAGCAUGUCCUUGUUAUUUCACACAGUGAAAAUUCUAAACCCCAGAUAAUAAAAAAGAACAUCCUUAGCACUUGUAUGUGCUUGACCAUCAUGUUAACAAAACCUAAAUUCCUGCACUUUUAUAAAAUUCCAUUGACAAAAGCAGAAGACUAUCCAUCCAACAAUCAUUGAAAAACAAAUCCAGUGUUCAUUAGAGAGCAUGCUGAAUGUCAUCCAAGCCCAUGGGAUACAGAUGCAACUAUUAGAGCUAGAUUUAUAUGCUUAUUUUAAAUAAUAAAAUAAUAAAAUAAUAAAAUACAGCCUUACACUGUGGACAUGCUCAGUAUCUCCAACAUAACACACAAGGCUUUCAUUUCCCAUGUAUAAAAAAAGCCUAGGGGAUCUAAAGGAACGUGAAGUCCAUAUGUGUAAAAUGAGUGCUCCUCCUUGAACACUUCUCUCCCAAGCAUUCACAAAUUCACAGUUUGCACAAAUAAAUAAUACUAUAUAACCCACCAAACAUCAGAUUUGUUUAAAAAUUUCUUUACAGUUUUUUGAUGCUGUUCAUAAUAAAUUUGUAGAAUAUCAGUACAGUUAUUAAUGUUUGUGUUUUCCGCCUACUUGGAAUGCAAAAGUGUAUGUAAAUAUUCCCUGUGACUGCAGCUGCUGUGGAAAAAGAAGAAAUUAUAAGGAAGGUAAGAAACUUUGUUUUGAUGAUUUCUCCUUAGAGGUUUCACUUCUUUAACCAUCCCAUCUCAUCAUCCUCCGUGUCCCACUGGUGUUGUGGGAUGCAGAAUGCUGAUUCAGGAGUACGUGCCCCAGAUUUUCCUCCUUAGUGCCUUUUUUGCUUACCUGUCAUUGCCUGCUUUGCUCCAAUCCCAGACCUUCUAGUGUCAUUCAGCACAUCUCCUCUCUUUUUGGGAUAAAAAUUUUGAAGCAACAGAAAGUAGAAGAAUUUGCAGCAGAGCAAGUCUGUAGUUCUACUAGAUAGAGCAAAGCAGAGCUAGUACCACACCACAUCCUUAUCACUCCAGUGCCCUCUGCCAAAGUAACCAUCUCCUUGGCUUCUGAGUCCCCUUGGGCAGGGGCAGGAGCCUCUGCCAAGUGCCAUAAGCUGCCACCUCUUUAUCUUGCACUUGACUUCCUUGCUGUAUUUCCUUUUCUAUUCUGUCUCAACAGACAAGCAGAAGUAUGACCCCUUAUUUCUUUUCCUUGCUCCAGUGGUACUUAGGUUGAAAUUUGUUCUUUUCCUUCAUAGCAUUGCUGCAUCACAUUUUACAGCAGCCUCUUAAUGAGCUUAGGAAGGUAACAUAUAUGGGAUGAUAAUUAAGGCAAUUAUAUUUUAUAAGAAUUCCAGUGCAUGUGUGUAUAAAGCUGAAAACCACCUAAAUAAAUGUAAAUUAUGUUCCUUUCUGGCAGAUUUACACAUGUACUAUAAAGCUGGGAGAAAAUGAGAGACAGUCUUUUAGGAAGCAACUGGAAGUUUCUAAACAAACACAUGUUCACUGACAGUGAGUAAUUCAAGCAGUGUGUAUAGUUGCAAUGGCCUGUUAACCAUCCAUACCAAAACAAUCAGUUCACAGCUCACAUGCUGCCUGCAGGACACCCAGUGAACUCCAUUCCCCAGGAAAGAAGGGAAGAUGAUGUCAAGCUUUGACAAGAUGAAGAUAAUUCUGAGCUUUGAAUAACUACCCAUUACAUUUCUGAAUAUUAAAAAUAUGCUGGAAAAAGAAAAAUUUAAAUGUAAAUGUGGUCCCUUCAGAAGCAUCCUACUACUAUUUUACUAGGUUAGCUUAAAAAGCCUUUUAAGAACAAAAGCAGGUUUAAAUAAAUUAUGCAAAAGAAACUGAGAUUAGGUAACUUCUGUAGGGGAAAAGCACUAUUUUAAAAACAUUAUUUAAACCUUCAUUUUUUAUACUUCCAUACCAAUUUCAUUUAACACAGAAAAACUCUUCCUUAAGGAAACAUUUUAUGUCACAAGAAAACACCACAUUCAGACAUAUAGAUGAUCAAAACUGAACUCUGAAAUGAACUAAGAUCUUAAUGGUUUAGAUCUUUCAAAUAAAUGGGAAAAAACCCCACAGAACUUCCUGUCAAAAUAUUUGCAGACAGAUUCUCAUAACUUAUAUCAAUGAUAAAUAGUUCAAAUUGGUAAGGAACUGGCACUUUCUUCCUUAUGAAUUUACUUAAGAAACAGAUUGGGCAAGAAGAGGGGACAACUUAGAAGCAAUACUGGCCAACAACUUUCUGUCAAAACAUUAGUUAAUUCUGAAUCAGGCUGCCACUUGUUACCACUUAUUGAAGUGAACAGAACAGCAUCUAAUUCAGUGAUUUAGAAUUAAGAUCUGUUACCACCAAUUCAUUAAAUAACACACAGCUCUUUUUCAUUGUACUAAUUCAGAGAGCUUCUCUCAGUGAGUAUCAAAUCAGGGAUCCUGCCUCUGGCACUCAAGAAUAAGGGCACACCAGCACAGAGCUGAGUACAAUUCAAGUACCUGACCAGUUUAAUAACCUUGCCAGAGUGGCAGACAUGCUUAUUUAUUUAAGUUUUAAUACAAAUCUUAGCAGUAAAUCAAUGUUAAUGGCCAGAUACCUUAGAAAGGGGAAACCCAAGGCAGUAAAUGAGCACAAGAGCAGGGAAAAGGGAGGGACUGAAUUCCCAGCACUGUGCCAUGGCUGUCGCAGGAGUGGUGGGAGCUGUCCCUGGCCAGAGAACUUGGAAAAAUAAAUGACAUGGGCUCUUUUAUUUAAAAGAGAAAGUAUAAAGAAUUCUAGUAAUAUACUAUCAGCUA